UGGGCUCGUAGCUUAGACUGGUGGAGCGACUGGCUCAUAACCAGUUGGUCGCAGGUUCAAAUCCUGCCGGGCCCAUC
rnacentral:tRNA from 1 species